rfam:Oryza glumipatula chromosome 5, whole genome shotgun sequence.
AAUAAGUACAGUUUUGUACAGUUCAUGUCUAACUUUUGACCGUUCAUUUUAUUUAAAAUUUUUUUAUGAUUAAUAUUUUUAUUGUUAUUAGAUGACAAAACAUGAAUAGUAUUUUAUGUGUGACUAAAUUUUUUUAAUUUUCUCAUAAAUUUUUCAAAUAAGACGGACAGUCAAACGUUGGACACGAAUUUCCACGGCUACACUUAUU